AAGGGUGGGGAGCAAACAGGCUUAGAUACCCUGGUAGUCCCACCCCGUAAACGUUGGGACCUAGUUGUGGGGUCCAUUCCACGGAUUCCGUGACGCAGCUAACGCAUUAAGUUCCCCGCCUGGGGAGUACGGCCGCAAGGCUAAAACUCAAAGGAAUUGACGGGGACCCGCACAAGCGGCGGAGCAUGCGGAUUAAUUCGAUGCAACGCGAAGAACCUUACCAAGGCUUGACAUAUACGAGAACGGGCCAGAAAUGGUCAACUCUUUGGACACUCGUAAACAGGUGGUGCAUGGUUGUCGUCAGCUCGUGUCGUGAGAUGUUGGGUUAAGUCCCGCAACGAGCGCAACCCUCGUUCUAUGUUGCCAGCACGUAAUGGUGGGAACUCAUGGGAUACUGCCGGGGUCAACUCGGAGGAAGGUGGGGAUGACGUCAAAUCAUCAUGCCCCUUAUGUCUUGGGCUUCACGCAUGCUACAAUGGCCGGUACAAAGGGCUGCAAUACCGCGAGGUGGAGCGAAUCCCAAAAAGCCGGUCCCAGUUCGGAUUGAGGUCUGCAACUCGACCUCAUGAAGUCGGAGUCGCUAGUAAUCGCAGAUCAGCAACGCUGCGGUGAAUACGUUCCCGGGUCUUGUACACACCGCCCGUCAAGUCAUGAAAGUCGGUAACACCUGAAGCCGGUGGCCUAACCCUUGUGGAGGGAGCCGUCGAAGGUGGGAUCGGUAAUUAGGACUAAGUCGUAACAAGGUAGCCGUACCGGAAGG
rnacentral:rRNA from 1 species